GCUGGUAUCGCUUAGUCUGGUCGAUAGCACUCGCCUUGUAAGCGAGAACCGAAAGGUCGUCGGGGGUUCAAAUCCCUCUACCAGCUC
rnacentral:tRNA from 1 species